GUCAUUUAUGCUGCAUGCUAAAACCAGAAAGUAAUUUUCACAGUAAGGUGACUCCAUAUGAAUUGUGGUAACAAUACUGGUAAAUGUUACUGUUCCAGUAGUUCCUACAAAUUGACUAUUUUGUUUUCAUUUUGAUCAGUGAGUAAUCACCAAGUCAAAGGUUGCCUGCCGCUCUAAGUCCUUAGCAUGCAUAGCGUCUAGAAUAGGUGAUCUCCAUGUGUAGUUGAUUUUUUGGGAGGCAGAUCCAGUUAAGCAGUUAAGCCUUCCUCCCAGAUAAGCCACAGAGCUGAAAGGAAAAACUGGUCUGGGUACAUCUAUGUUGUACCCAAACCUUGUGGUACAGAGUCAGGCUCAGGACUGAACCUUGUUCUGCAUAUUGUAGUUUCUUGAGUAUCCUUUCCCCAGUUCCCUCUGUAUUUAUUUAUUUAUUUAUUUAUUUAUGACCAGUGACCCUGACCACAUAUAAUUUGAUAGGUACCCAUUCUUCCCCGUGGGAAAGAAUUAAAGAAGACUCCAUUUCUUGGAAUGGGGCUUUCGUUAGUCUCUAUAGCAGACUGCUGGCUGUGAAAAGGCCAACACUUUUGGGAAGUCAAUGCUAUGCUCUUGAACUAAACCAACAGCCAUAAUUAUUGUCCCAAGAACGUGUAAAGCCGUCCUUUGUCAAAGAUUAUACAUGGCUGCGUGGCAAGUGUAGGUAUCUUUAAAUGGACUGGACAGUAAUACUUUUAUAACUACGUGGACUUUAUGGUUCUUUUUCUAGGGUGAAACCAGUACUUUGUUUUUAUUCUGAUGUUGUUCUUUGGAGUCAGUUUAUAUAAUCAUUUCUAAAGGACUGUUUAAGCAACCGCAAUCUAAUUAAACAAAACCUAGGCACACCAUGGAUUCAAA
rnacentral:lncRNA from 1 species